GGCCCAAUUGUGUAGGGGAAUAAGGAUAAGUCAUGGAGGGGAACUCUAAGGGGUUCGCCUAAUUGGGGCUUAUAGCACUUCUGUUUCGUGUAGGGUGUCUGCCGGAUUCCGGGGAAUCGUCUCUUGUUGUUAAUUGAGUGCUUACUCUCAUUUGCUGGUAGAGGGCUAUUUCGUUGCCGAUGUGUGCAUCGUCUCUUGGUGGGGUUCCUUUAGGGGAGACCUGUCAGGUCUGGUAUAUGUUUCCGUUGUGGAUUGACACGAUGAGUGUACAUUAGCUGCUUUCGAUAAAGGGUCCCCUUUCUGAAUAAGUGGGGGAGUGGCUUUAGUGGUUGCAGUGGGGUUCAGAAUGUACUCUGCUUCAGUGGCCUAGUCCCUGGGAGGUGCUCGUCUAAGCUACUUUUCUCUUAUAUUGAGUGUAAG